rnacentral:rRNA from 1 species
AACGUAGGAGACAAACGUUAUCCGGAGUUACUGGGCGUAAAGGGCGUGUAGGUGGUAAUGUAAGUCUGGCGUGAAAUUUUUCGGCUUAACCGGGAAAGGUCGUCGGAUACUGCAUGACUAGAGGACGGUAGAGGCGUGUGGAAUUCCGGGUGUAGUGGUGAAAUGCGUAGAGAUCCGGAGGAACACCAGUGGCGAAAGCGGCGCACUGGACCACAACGUGACGACUGAGGC